rnacentral:lncRNA from 1 species
UGCAGAUCCCCUAGGGGAGACUACACAGCUGACAGUGGCACUGGUGAGGAAACUAGAAGAGAAACAUCCUAAGGCCUCUGCUCAAAGUACAAGAGAGACAUGGGCAUACUCCAGCAAAGUGCUGCUGAGAUCAUGAAUGAACUGAAGCAUCUCUCCUGCAAUGCAACCUGGAGAAGAGGAAGAUCAGGGGACCACUUCAGUGUCUAUAAAUAAGUACCUGAAGGGAGGGUGCAGAGAGGACAGAGCCAGGCACCGUGGUGACCAGUGCCAGGACAAUAGGCAAUGGGCACAAACUGGAUCACAAGGAGGUUCUGUACGAACAUCAGGAAACACUUCUCAGCUGACAAAGCACUGGCACGGGUUGUCCAGAGGUGCUGUGGGGUCUUCUCCUUGGCGAAGUCAUGGGCCCUGCUUGAACAUGGAAGUUGGACCACAAGACCUCUAGAGGUCCCUUCCAACUUUGACCAUUCUGUGAUUCUGUGAACAGAAGUCAUGAACAGCUUCAAUCUGCACAUGCCUCCUAACGAGUUCAGAACUCAUCCAUAUGAAGUUGAAGAAAGGGACUGAGUAUGUGAUACCAAUCAUUGUUCAUGACUGAUGUGUGAAAACUUUCUCUCCAGAUGCUAACUGUGAGACCAUUCUGUGAUAUUACAUUGCCACCAUUCCAAAACUAGUGGAAGUAUGAAGACAAGCAGUGACUUUUAUCUGCAACUUAUUUUAGACGUUACAUACUUAGAAAGAGUUCUUUCUAUGAGUUUCCAUCUUGGCUCCUAUACCAAACCUAGCACCUCUCCCAGGUAUUAUCUUGGCUAAAUGUAGUUGCAUGUAAGUGUUAUCGAUAAACUUGUGUGAAUUUCUGUGAAUUGAUAUCUAUGACUCUAUAAUUCGGAGUAAGAGAGCAGCUGUUAUAAAAUGUUAUGGUGUUUUAAAAGGCUCAGAACUAGACAAAGCUUCAUGGGAUUUCUUUUUUUUUUUUUUUUUUGGUGUGUAGACUGUAAAAUCCUUUUUUCCCCCCAUGUUGUGAAGAUAAUAAUGAGGAAAAUCCAUCACAAAUGUGAUUUUUAUCUAACCCACUUCUACCACUUUAGAUAAUUUAAAACCCAUGUUUUUUUUUCUGAUUAUGAGCUGUAACUAAUUUAUCUAAUCUUGCUCGAAGUAGAUACUGUCAUAUUUCACCGAUUUAGUAGGAC